GGGUCGACGAUGAGACUUCAUGAUGUCUCGAGGAGAUGAUGGCUUAAAAAUCAUGCUCAAUAGGAUUACACUGAGACCC
ensembl:snoRNA SNORD115 Small nucleolar RNA SNORD115